UACAGAGGUCUCAAGCGUUGUUCGGAUUCAUUGGGCGUAAAGGGUGCGUAGGCGGCGCGGUAAGUCGGGUGUGAAAUCUUGGAGCUUAACUCCGAAACUGCAUUCGAUACUGCCGUGCUUGAGGACUGGAGAGGAGACUGGAAUUUACGGUGUAGCGGUGAAAUGCGUAGAUAUCGUAAGGAAGACCAGUGGCGAAGGCGGGUCUCUGGGACAGUUCCUGACGCU
rnacentral:rRNA from 1 species